rnacentral:rRNA from 1 species
CAAUAGCGUAUAUUUAAGUUGUUGCAGUUAAAAAGCUCGUAGUUGGAUUUCGGUUAAGAGCGACCGGUCCGCCGUUUGGUGUGCACUGGUUGGUUUUAACUUCCUGUAGAGGACGUGCUCUGGGUUUAACGACCUGGACUCGGAGUCUACGUGGCUACUUUGAAAAAAUUAGAGUGUUCAAAGCGGGCUUACGCUUGAAUAUUUCAGCAUGGAAUAACACUAUAGGACUCCUGUCCUAUUUCGUUGGUCUCGGGACGGGAGUAAUGAUUAAGAGGAACAGUUGGGGGCAUUCGUAUUUCAUUGUCAGAGGUGAAAUUCUUGGAUUUAUGAAAGACGAACUUCUGCGAAAGCAUUUGCCAAGGAUGUUUUCAUUAA